rnacentral:antisense_RNA from 1 species
ACAUAAUUAUAUUCCUAUUGUCAUGUUGGGUCGAGCAGUUAGACCAUAUAGUGUUUUCUCAUUGCACAACAUUUGCAAAUCAAUAAGGAGAAAGCCUGAACAAUGCGAUGACGUUGGCCAGGAACCCGGCCCGAGUCACCCAGGAGGCAGCUCUGCAGUUUCACAGGAGGACACAUCUGGACCUGAGCUUCACCACUGGUCAUGUGAGAAAGCCUCUAUACUUGGUUCCUCAAUGUCUCCGUUUAGAAGACUGCAUCAGCAAAACCAUCCUACCAUGGGAAUUAACUGAUGGAUGUGUCUGGACUUCCCGGGGGGUUCUCCAUGGACAGUAUUGUGCUGUUAAAGACGAGGAGACGGAGACCUAGAGGAAGUCAUUUGUACAAGGCCAUAUGGCUUGCUCCUGAUAGAUCUGGAAUUUGGACUCAGGCAGCCUGGUUCUGGAGCUGAAUUCUGAACUACCUAUAUCAUCCCACCUCAGUCCAGUGAGAGAAUGUGUCGCCUGAGUGCUCAAGAUACAGCAAGAGCCCGACCAAGUCCUGGAGCCUCUUAAAAGCGAAGCUCAGGGUGCAGGACCUGAGAGGGUGUUAAUCAGCCACUUCCAUUUUUUUCUUUAUAAGGGAAGACUAGAUUUUGCUUGGCUUCUGGAAACCGCUGCCAUCUUGCUUUUCCUCCUACUUCAGCUCUUAGUCUCCUGUGCAGCUGGCUUUUCCUUCUUCCUGACUUUUCAAGCCCAUCCUCGGACCUCUUACCUUCUCCAUCAAAAUUUUCUCCCUAGAUGAUUUCACUGAGGCCGAUGGCUUAAAUACCUUAGAAAUACUGAUAGCUCCAAAUCCCUAUCUUUAGCCUGGCCUCCUGCCCUAGAAUUCACAUGUCGAACUGCCUAGUGGAUUUCUCCGCUUAGAUGUCUAAUAAGCAUUUCAAACCUGCCCAAAACGAAACUUGAUUACCAUCCCCAAACCACUCUUCCCUAAGGAAAUUGUGUCCCGUUCCACCAGUUGCUCAGGCAAAAACCCUAGCAAUCAGCUUCACUUGCUUCCAUUCUCUCUCUUCUCCCACAUCAAACCCAUUAGCAAGUUCUGUUGGUUCUUUUUUGAAAUAUACUCAGAGGCUACUUCUCACCACCUGCUCUGCUAUGGUUCUAGCCCAAGCCACUGUCAGUCUCUCCCAGAGACACAAGCUGUACCUUCCUAACUCACACCCCUGUGUCCAUCCCUGCUCACCCAAAGCCAACCCUUUGCAUAUAUCCAGAGUUAUUUUUUUGAAAUGUAAAUAAGAACCGAUCACCACCCUAUUCAAAUCCUCCAGGGGCUUCUCAUUUCUCUUAGAACAAAACCCAGACUCCUGACUACAGCCCCAAAGCCCUACAUGAUCCUGCCCCAUUUACAGCUCCAGGCUCAUUACCUACCUCGUGCUCCCAGCCCACGGAUCAUCACCUACCACGUGCUCCCAGCCCCCGUAUCUCCAGCACAUCAGCCUCUUGGCUCUUCUUAGAACUCCCUAAAUUCACUCCUGUCUCAAGGACUUUCCUGUGCUUUUCCUUAGACUGGAGACACCCCUCCCAGUUCACAUGGCUCACUCGCUUCAUCCAGGUCUUUUCUCUAGUGUCCCCUCCUUGUGACCCCUGGAUCUAAAGGAGUUGAACCACCCCACUCCUACCCUUAUAUUCUCAUAGCUCCUCACACUGCCUCACUUUUAGCAAGAUUUCAUUAAAAUUUUAUUGCUGCCUAAAAUUCUAUUAUAUAUUUAACCAUUUACUUGUUUAGUAUCUGUGUCUCCCAUUAGCAAGUAAGUUCUCUCCAGGCGUGGUGGCUCACACCUGUAAUCCCAGCACUUUGGGAAGCCGAGGCAGGUGGAUCACCUGAGGUCAGGAGUUCGAGACCAGCCUGGUCGACGUGGUGAAACCCUGUCUCUACUAAAAAUACAAAAAUUUGCCAGGUGUGGUGGCAUGCACCUGUAAUCUCAGCUACUCAGGAGGCUGAGGCAGGAGAAUCGCUUGAACCUGGGAGGUGGAGGCUGCAGUGAGCCAAGAUCGUGCCACUACACUCCAGCCUGAGCAACAGAGGGAGACUCUGUCUCAAACAAAAAAAAAGAAAGAAAAAAAAAGAGAAAGUAAGUAAGUUCCAUGAAGGCAGAAA